rnacentral:rRNA from 1 species
GAUGAACGCUGGCGGCGUGCUUAACACAUGCCAGUCGAACGAGAAGUGAAGACGGAAACCUUCGGGCGGAAGGCUUUAUUUCGAGUGGCGGACGGGUGAGUAACGCGUGGGUAACCUGCCUCAUACAGGGGGAUAACAGUUGGAAACGACUGUUAAUACCGCAUAAGACCACAGCACCGCAUGGUGCGGGGGUAAAAACUCCGGUGGUAUGAGAUGGACCCGCGUUCGAUUAGCCAGUUGGCGGGGUAACGGCCCACCAAAGCGACGAUCGAUAGCCGAUCUGAGAGGAUGACCGGCCACAUUGGGACUGAGACACGGCCCAAACUCCUACGGGAGGCAGCAGUGGGGAAUAGUGCACAAUGGGGGAAACCCUGAUGCAGCGACGCCGCGUGAGUGAAGAAGUAUUUCGGUAUGUAGCUCUAUCAGCAGGGAAGAAAAUGACGGUACCUGAGGAAGAAGCCCCGGCUAACUACGUG